CCUACGGGAGGCUGCAGUGAGGAAUAUUGGUCAAUGGGCGCGAGCCUGAACCAGCCAAGUAGCGUGAAGGAUGACUGCCCUACGGGUUGUAAACUUCUUUUAUAAAGGAAUAAAGUGAGGCACGUGUGCCUUUUUGUAUGUACUUUAUGAAUAAGGAUCGGCUAACUCCGUGCCAGCAGCCGCGGUAAUAAGGAGGAUCCGAGCGUUAUCCGGAUUUAUUGGGUUUAAGGGGAGCGUAGAUGGGUUGUUAAGUCAGUUGUGAAAGUUUGCGGCACAACCGUAAAAUUGCAAUUGAUACUGGCAGCCUUGAGUACAGGUGAGGUAGGGGGAAUUCGUGGGGGAGCGGUGAAAUGCUUAGAUAGCACGAAGAACCCCGAUUGCGAAGGCAGCUUACGAAACUGCCACUGACAUUGAUGCUCGAAAGUGUGGGUAUCAAACAGGAUUAGAUACCCCUGUAGUC
rnacentral:rRNA from 1 species